GCCUGGGUGGCUCAGUCGGUUGAGUGUCCGACUUCGGCUCAGGUCAUGAUCUCACGGUUCGUGGGUUCGAGCCCCGCAUCGGGCU
rnacentral:tRNA from 1 species